ACACACCUGAGUUCACGCCCUUGCCACACCCAAGCCGACUCCUAUUUAACCUGGAGAGCUUCCCUGGAUCUCCACCUGCAAGUGACCACCAAAUCUUCUCUGUGCACCAUCGCAAAGCGUCCCAACCACACCCGAACCAUGAAUGAGGAUAGCCUCCGCAAAGCCUUCAAGGCUAUCGACAAGGAUAACUCGGGCAAGCUGUCCGCGGCAGAGCUUCAGGAAGCCCUGAAGAGCAUCGGCCAUGACAUUCCCCUGGACCAGGUGAAGAAGAUCGUGGCGUCCAUCGACAAGUCCGGCGACGGACAGAUUGACAUCAACGAGUUCGUCGGUGCCUUCAAGAACAAGUGAUCGACGCCGCCACUUCCACCACCUCCGCCGACAACACCACCGCCACCACCGACCACGAGCCCAAGGGACGAUUCGGAGUUUUUGUGUCUCAACUUCUCACUUCGGCCAAUCAACGACGGCGCCCGUCGUUGAUUUUUAUUUUCAACAACAACAACAAAAACAUCGAUUUGCGUUUCUCCACUCUUAAACGAUCGUCGAUUGAUUAGGUUGAUGGCACAAAAUACGAAUAAUGAUAAUAACAAAUAAAUAUCGACUUGGAUGAUUAAAAUGUUUGAUUCAAGGAAGCCGAACAAAUGUGUACCCUUACAUUCAAAUGUGGGAUUAAGUGAACAAAAUAUAUCUGGUGUGUUUCCAGCUGCGCAGUGCUCAACACCGUACGUCACGGCCACUAUUUUUAAUCCCGAGUUGAACUGCAAUCGUACACAACAAUCAAACAACUUAAAGCUUAACACGUCCCGCAAAUCAUCCCCACCGAGAGAUCAACACGGCACCCUCGCCGGGUUGAAGGUCAUUCAAAUUUGAACAUCUGAGCGGCCUUGUGUGGUGUCCCAGGAGGGGAAAAACAACAACAACAACAAUCUACAUCAUGUGCUGCUACUGUUGUAAUCACAAAUAAAGCGGUUGAGGUUGAUUCGGAGUUGGCUGUGCGCGUGUCCGAAUACUCUUCGCCUGUUGAUGUCACCGGUUGUGGAAUAAAGCGAGAGAAAGACCGCGA